UGUUUAUUAUCCUUGAUUGAUGGCAUUGAAGACAGAGGUAAUCUUUGCAUAUCGUUGUGUGUUGGUCAUCUAUUGUCUUUCUGUACCAUGGUUGACUGAAAUAUGCACUUUUUUCCCAACAUCUUGUAGGGUGACACAAAGGGUUCAAAGUCUUCUGAUCAGAAUGGAAAGAAACAGAUGUUACCCAAUGGUGAACUUGGAUCAUCGGUAAUAUUUACUUUCUGGUUGCAAAACUGCCACCAAAUAACCCUCUUCCUAAUCUGUUACUUCACAUCUCCUCUUUCUAAAAUGUAC
rnacentral:lncRNA from 1 species